AUGAGGACGAAGUGACUGACACCACGCUUCCAGGAAAAGCCACUAAGCUUCAGCUUAAGAAAAACCGUACCGCAAACCGACACAGGUAGGCAGGGUGAGAAUCCCAAGGCGCUUGAGAGAACUCGGGUGAAGGAACUAGGCAAAAUGGCACCGUAACUUCGGGAGAAGGUGCGCCCUUUGGUGUGGUCACGUGCGUGACUGAGCAUCGAAGGGUCGCAGUAACCUGGCCGCUGCGACUGUUUAUCAAAAACACAGCACUCUGCAAACACGAAAGUGGACGUAUAGGGUGUGACGCCUGCCCGGUGCUGGAAGGUUAAUUGAUGGGGUCAGCCGCAAGGCGAAGCUCUUGAUCGAAGCCCCAGUAAACGGCGGCCGUAACAAUAACGGUCCUAAGGUAGCGAAAUUCCUUGUCGGGUAAGUUCCGACCUGCACGAAUGGCGUAACGACAGCGGCGCUGUCUCCACCCGAGACUCAGUGAAAUUGAAAUCGCUGUGAAGAUGCAGCGUUCCCGCGGCAAGACGGAAAGACCCCGUGAACCUUUACUAUAGCUUUACACUGAACGUUGAGUUCUUCUGUGUAGGAUAGGUGGGAGGCUAUGAAACCAGGACGCUAGUUCUGGUGGAGCCAUCCUUGAAAUACCACCCUGAAGUGCUUGACGUUCUAACCUAGGCCCGUAAUCCGGGUCAGGGACCGUGUAUGGUGGGUAGUUUGACUGGGGCGGUCUCCUCCCAAAGAGUAACGGAGGAGCACGAAGGUACGCUCAGCGCGGUCGGACAUCGCGCACUGUGUGCAAAGGCAUAAGCGUGCUUGACUGCGAGAUCGACGGAUCAAGCAGGUACGAAAGUAGGUCUUAGUGAUCCGGUGGUUCUGUAUGGAAGGGCCAUCGCUCAACGGAUAAAAGGUACUCCGGGGAUAACAGGCUGAUACCGCCCAAGAGUUCAUAUCGACGGCGGUGUUUGGCACCUCGAUGUCGGCUCAUCACAUCCUGGGGCUGUAGCCGGUCCCAAGGGUAUGGCUGUUCGCCAUUUAAAGUGGUACGCGAGCUGGGUUCAGAACGUCGUGAGACAGUUCGGUCCCUAUCUGUCGUGGGCGUUGGAGAUUUGAGGGGGGCUGCUCCUAGUACGAGAGGACCGGAGUGGACGUUCCGCUGGUGUUCGGGUUGUCAUGCCCAUGGCAUUGCCCGGUAGCUACGAACGGAAGUGAUAACCGCUGAAAGCAUCUAAGCGGGAAGCACGCCCCAAGAUGAGAUCUCCCGAGAGCUUGACUCUCCUAAAGGCACCAUCAAGACUAGGUGGUUGAUAGGUCAGGUGUGGAAGCGCAGCAAUGCGUUGAGCUAACUGAUACUAAUGAGCCGUGAGGCUUGAUC
rnacentral:rRNA from 1 species